GCCUUUUGUAGUAUUCUAAACUAUAUGCUAAACAUUUUUUUUUUUAAAUGAAUAUCAGUAUGGAGAUAAUCUCUAUCGUUAUAAAAAUGAUCUAAACAAUCUUUUACGUGUGACAAUUCUCUUAUAUUGUAUAUUAUUGCUUCCGUCCACUAGUGCUGUAAAAUAUAUGUUACUGUAUACUUAAACAAAUGUAAUGAUUAUGUACAUAUGAUGAUUAAAAUGAUCUGU
rnacentral:lncRNA from 1 species